rnacentral:rRNA from 1 species
AGAGUUUGAUCAUGGCUCAGGACGAACGCUGGCGGCGUGCUUAACACAUGCAAGUCAAGGGGGCGGAGCAAUCCGCAACCGGCGAACGGGUGCGUAACACGUGAGCGACCUACCUUGUAGCGGGGGAUAGCCGGCCCAACGGCCGGGUAAUACCGCGUACGACCUUCGAGGGGCAUCCCUGGGAGGUGAAAGCAGCAAUGCGUCGAUAGAGGGCCUCGCGGCCUAUCAGCUAGUUGGUGAGGUCACGGCCUACCAAGGCAAUGACGGGUAGCUGGUCUGAGAGGACGAUCAGCCACACUGGAACUGAAACACGGUCCAGACUCCUACGGGAGGCAGCAGUGGGGAAUAUUGGACAAUGGGGGAAACCCUGAUCCAGCAACGCCGCGUGAGGGAAGAAGGCCUUCGGGUUGUAAAGCUCUGUGGGGAGAGACGAAUAAGGUGCAGCUAAUACCUGCAUCGAUGACGGUAUCUCCUUAGCAAGCACCGGCUAACUCUGUGCC